UUGGAGGGCAAGUCUGGUGCCAGCAGCCGCGGUAAUUCCAGCUCCAAUAGCAUAUAUUAAAGUUGUUGCAGUUAAAAAGCUCGUAGUUGAAUUUCGGGGUUCUACCGUUGGUCGGGCUAUUGUCUGUACUGGCGUGUAGAAUUUCUACCUUCUGGGGAACUAUCAUGUUAUUAAUUUAGCGUGGUAGGAAACCAGGACCUUUACCUUGAAAAAAUUAGAGUGUUCAAAGCAGGCUUAUGUCUGAAUACAUUAGCAUGGAAUAAUAAAAUAGGACGGUGGUCCUGUUUUGUUGGUUUCUGAAUCACCGUAAUGAUUAAUAGGGAUAGUUGGGGGCAUUAGUAUUCAAUUGUCAGAGGUGAAAUUCUUGGAUUUAUUGAAGACUAACUACUGCGAAAGCAUUUGCCAAGGAUGUUUUCAUUAAUCAAGAACGAAAGUUAGGGGAUCGAAGACGAUCAGAUACCGUCGUAGUCUUAACCAUAAACUAUGCCGACUAGGGAUCGGACGAUGUUAACUUUUCUUGACUCGUUCGGCGCCUUACGGGAAA
rnacentral:rRNA from 1 species